UUAAGUUCAGCGGGUAUCCCUACCUGAUCCGAGGUCAACCACAGAAAGGGGGGUUCUGGCAGGCUGCCGCCCAGGCCCAGAGCGAGAGUUGUACUACGCUUGGAGCUAGACGCAACCGCCACUGUCUUUAGGGCCGGCCGCGAGCGGGCAGGGCCCAACACCAAGCAGAGCUUGAGGGUUGAAAUGACGCUCGAACAGGC
rnacentral:misc_RNA from 1 species